UUCUUAAGGCGACGCUCCUCCUGGCUAGACUCGUUUACACGCGUCGCGCAUUUCCUCUCAAAAAUCAGUUGAAUAUGAUUUUGAAACUGCCAAAAAUGUUCAAUCUUCAGUUAUUUGAAAAGUUUGAAGUUAUUUUCAAGCUUUUUUAUUCCUAAUUUCUGACAAAAUGUGCACAAAGUAAAAAUCGGGUAUUCAGCAUUGGCGUCUACAGUCUACGAAGAAAAGCUCGAUUCCAAAUUCAAGGCGGAAGCCAACUACAAGGAGAGACAAAAGUCUGCGAAAUUCGAAGCAGCUGUUAAAGAAAACUUUUGUCACAUGCAGAGUUCUCGACAAAAGCUUUUGAACCAGCUGUUGAAGAAAAGUUUGGAACAGGAAGAAUUCUCGGAUUGGUGAAUCAUCCUUCUUAAUCACCCCUUAUGUCCGAAUAAUCCGACGAAAAAUCACUCUUCGGAGGAUGACAUCGGAUUACCAAUGAUAAAAUUAAUUUUUUACAUUCCCGGAAAGUCUUGGGAUUGCAAAAACUCCGAGCGAUGAAGAAUGUAUUAGUAUUAAGUAUAUAUUUUUGUUUUUGUAGUUACUUUCGCGACGAAAUCAAGCUUUAAACUAUUUUGUAUCCACUUUUAGUUAAUAUUUUUACAGCAAAUCGGAACAUUUACUUUUUGCGAACAAGUAUGAAGAAAAAUUUGCCUUUUUUCUUACACAUGCUUUAAAGUAA